UGCAGUUUAUAUUAGGUUAGUAUUUUUUCUUUCUAGUCGUAACAUUAUUUUAUUAUCUAAGUGGGGUAGGGUGAGUUAAUUAUUGAAUUACGAAGCAUUUUUGAAGUAGUGAGUAGGUAUUCGAUUUAGGCUUGAACAGAUGUAUAUAUACAGUCGUAUACAGUAACAACGGACAGUACUUCUAGUUGGUUGUUUCAGAACACAACAAGUUGAAAAUGAAAUUCGCCACUCUUUUAGUUUUCGUUGUUGUCUUGACCACCGCCUAUGGCUGGUAUAUGCGUCCCAACCUAGUAUCUGGCAAUGGGGAUCACACUGAGGUUUACAAAUCCUUAGCCGAAUUUUUCUCCAAACUGAGCAGUGAUGCUACUCAAGUUGCUGCCAUUUCUGACCCUGGUAGACGAUAAUUUUUUUGUGAAUUUAAUUUGAUUCUGAUGACGUUGUUUAUUAAAGUGCUGAUUAAAAAGUGAAGAAAG